UAAAAGCAGAGGGAAGAGGUGCUUUAGUCUGCGACAGCAUGCAGCUUUAGGGGUCCUGUCUGUCCGUACUGAGAGCCUGAGGUAGAAGUUGCCCUUAACCACAGAUCUAGGAUCAGAUUCCUCUCUAUCAAACAAAACUGUAAGUCUCGGAAAUCCCAGACCUGGGGCAACACUGUUAAUGUGGGAGGCAACUCGUCCGCCUAGAGACAAGUCAAAACCUUAACCAUUAGGGAGGAAGACCAAACUGACUUCAGAUCAUUCUCCAGUCAACUUCAACCCCAUCCUACUCAGUUGGACUGGGUUAGCAGUAUGAUUUACUUUCCCUGAAAUCCCAGUUGGGAGGAUUGCCCGAUUAUACCUCAUAUUUCCAACCAGGAUUUCUGGAAAACACAGGAAAAGUUAUUGGAAUUGUGCAAACCCUAACACCAAACCCUCUUAUAAUCCGGUCUACAUAGCGCUAUCAUAACAAUAACAGGUCUAGUCAUAACUAGUCAUGUGUACGACCACUGACUUAACAGCCUACUGUCAUGACACAAACCCCGAUUUGAGGUCAGCUACUUGGCUAGAGUUACUUUAGAUAUUGGAGGUCAGCUACUUGGCUAGAGUUACUGUAGAUAUUGGAGGUCAGCUACUUGGCUAGAGUAACUGUAGAUUGAGGUCAGCUACUUGGCUAGAGUUACUGUAGAUAUUGGAGGUCAGCUACUUGGCUAGAGUUACUGUAGAUAUUGGAGGUCAGCUACUUGGCUAGAGUUACUGUAGAUAUUGGAGGUCAGCUACUUGGCUAGAGUUACUGUAGAUAUUGGAGGUCAGCUACUUGGCUAGAGUUACUGUAGAUAUUGGAGGUCAGCUACUUGGCUAGAGUUACUGUAGAUAUUGGAUGUCAGCUACUUGGCUAGAGUUACUGUAGAUAUUGGAGGUCAGCUAUUCGACUAUACUGCAGAUAUGAGGUCAGCUACUCGCCGAGAGUUACUAUGGAUAUUGUAGCAACCAACGCUUAGCGACCUCUUCAACCAUUUUACCAUCUCUUGGCGUAACGGUAUUGGGUUGACAGUCGUUGGACCUGUG